UCUUUUUCCUUCAUCUAGAUCAUUCGUAACUGAGGCACACUUGCCUUUUGCAACUAAGCUCUACUGAAUUCCAAAGCUAUAGAAAUAUCCAUCUUGACCUGGAAAGUCUGUUUCUUUGCUAGUCCAGAAGGUUUUUUUUAACAUGAACAAGAUCCUCUCAAGCACUGUUUGCUUUGGACUCCUAACUUUGUUAUCCGUGUUGAGUUUUUUACAAUCUGUGCAUGGACGACCAUAUCUUACCCAAGGAAAUGAAAUAUUUCCAGAUAAAAAAUAUACAAAUCGUGAGGAACUAUUGCUGGCUCUACUGAAUAAAAAUUUUGAUUUCCAAAGACCUUUCAACACUGCUGGAAAAGCUAAAAGAACAGCUAGUGGAGGAGAAGGAUUCUGAGACGUCCUAUGCUGUAGAUGGUCUAUUCUCUUCUCAUCCUAGCAAACGAGCUUGCUUUUGGAAAUACUGUGUUUAAAGCUUUUUCUCUGGAUGCAAAAAAAGAUAAGAAUAUCAGGAAAAUAUAUGUAUCUACUCACUCUGCUGUAGGCAGACCCCCUGAAACUAUUGCUGUGGAAUAAAAGAUGAAAUGCUCCUGAUUAUUGUAAAUACAAAAUUGCAUGCGGGAUUGUGUAAAGACAAUGCCAGGUUGGACUGCCAGAAUGAGCCAACAGCACUUGCUUCCCCCUGUAGAGAGCCUAUGAAUGGACGUGCAGUCAGGGAGGUUUCAUAUCACCAAGAUUCCUAUCCCAGAAAAGCAGAUGUUCAUAGCUCUGGGAAUGGAAUGCGCCCCUCGUGGAGAGCCUAUAAACGGAUGCAUGGAAGGCGCCUGUCCAUAUGGAUAAGAUAGGGU
rnacentral:lncRNA from 1 species